rnacentral:rRNA from 1 species
GGGGAAUAUUGGGCAAUGGGGGCAACCCUGACCCAGCGACGCCGCGUGAAGGACGAAGGCAUUCGUGUUGUAAACUUCUUUGGAGAGGGACGAAAAUGACGGUACCUCUCGAACAAGCCACGGCUAACUACGUGCCAGCAGCCGCGGUAAUACGUAGGUGGCAAGCGUUAUCCGGAAUUACUGGGUGUAAAGGGCGCGCAGGCGGCCCUGCAAGUCGGAUGUGAAAGAUCAAGGCUCAACCUUGACAGGCCAUUCGAAACUGUGGGGCUUGAGUGUCAGAGGGGAAAGUGGAAUUCCUAGUGGAGCGGUAAAAUGCGCAGAUAUUAGGAGGAACACCGGUGGCGAAGGCGACUUUCUGGCUGACAACUGACGCUGAGGCGCGAAAGCGUGGGGAGCAAACA